rnacentral:rRNA from 1 species
CCUACGGGAGGCAGCAGUGAGGAAUAUUGGUCAAUGGGCGCGAGCCUGAACCAGCCAAGUAGCGUGAAGGAUGACUGCCCUACGGGUUGUAAACUUCUUUUAUAAAGGAAUAAAGUGAGGCACGUGUGCCUUUUUGCAUGUACUUUAUGAAUAAGGAUCGGCUAACUCCGUGCCAGCAGCCGCGGUAAUACGGAGGAUCCGAGCGUUAUCCGGAUUUAUUGGGUUUAAAGGGAGCGUAGAUGGGUUUUUAAGUCAGUUGUGAAAGUUUGUGGCUCAACCGUAAAAUUGCAAUUGAUACUGGCAGCCUUGAGUACGGUUGAGGUAGGCGGAAUGCGUGGUGUAGCGGUGAAAUGCUUAGAUAUCACGAAGAACUCCGAUUGCGAAGGCAGCUUACUAAGCUGCCACUGACAUUGAUGCUCGAAAGUGUGGGUAUCAAACAGGAUUAGAUACCCUGGUAGUC